GAUGAACGCUAGCGGCAGGCCUAAUACAUGCAAGUCGAACGGAUAUAUGUUUUUCGGAAUAUAUAUUAGUGGCGCACGGGUGAGUAACACGUACAUAACUUGCCCUCAAGCGGGGGAUAGCCUUGGGAAACUGAGAGUAAUACCCCAUAGAAUUAUUGGACGGCAUCGUUUGAUAAUUAAAACUACGGUGUUUGGGGAUAGAUGUGCGUCUGAUUAGCUAGUUGGUGAGGUAACUGCUCACCAAGGCGACGAUCAGUAGGGGGCGUGAGAGCGUGGCCCCCCCACACGGGUACUGAGACACGGACCCGACUCCUACGGGAGACAGCAGUAAGGAAUAUUGGUCAAUGCCCGGAAGGGUGAACCAGCCAUCCCGCGUGAAGGAUGAAGGGGCUCUGCCUUGUAAACUUCUUUUGUAUGGGGCGAAAAAAGGGGAUUUAUCCUCGACUGACGGUACCAUAAGAAUAAGCACCGGCUAACUCCGUG
rnacentral:rRNA from 1 species